CAUCACGUGACCAACGUCAUCCUCUCCCCAACAACAUCCUUAUUUUCAGUCUUGGGAAAUCGAGUGGAAGACGGGUCGUGGCCGCGCUGGACGCCUUGGAAAAGGAAUACCUGCCUCCCCACCUCGCUCCCGGGCGUCACAGACAAGUGAUGGAAAGGAUAAGACAAACCGUGAGGAAUUUCCGGGACCUGCCAUAUUUAGAGGAUACCUUUAUGGGGGUUAUCGGUGAGGGCAGGGUAGAGCGUGGGAAUCCAGGGUGGAGGGAAAGCAGGGGUCUGGUGCUAGGAUUGCGGGGGGCGGGGGAGGGAUGGGACGCAAUGGCUGGAGGCAGAGUCGGCUGGGUUCUUGAAUGGAGAAGACUGAGAUGCCCAUUCCAGGCCUUCCCCUGGGCAAAGGAAUACACUAUUUCCCUAGUCCUUACCUUGCAAUUUUGUUAAAAAAAAAAAAAAAAAGAAACAAACAAAAAACAAAAACAACAAA